UGGCUGGUAGCAUAACGGUGAAUGCAAUUGCCUUAUACGCAGUGGAUUACCGGUUCAAAUCCGGUCCAGCCAA
rnacentral:tRNA from 1 species